AUUGAACGCUGGCGGCAGGCCUAACACAUGCAAGUCGAGCGGAUGAAGGGAGCUUGCUCCUGGAUUCAGCGGCGGACGGGUGAGUAAUGCCUAGGAAUCUGCCUGGUAGUGGGGGAUAACGUCCGGAAACGGGCGCUAAUACCGCAUACGUCCUGAGGGAGAAAGUGGGGGAUCUUCGGACCUCACGCUAUCAGAUGAGCCUAGGUCGGAUUAGCUAGUUGGUGGGGUAAAGGCGUACCAAGGCGACGAUCCGUAACUGGUCUGAGAGGAUGAUCAGUCACACUGGAACUGAGACACGGUCCAGACUCCUACGGGAGGCAGCAGUGGGGAAUAUUGGACAAUGGGCGAAAGCCUGAUCCAGCCAUGCCGCGUGUGUGAAGAAGGUCUUCGGAUCGUAAAGCACUUUAAGUUGGGAGGAAGGGCAGUAAGUUAAUACCUUGCUGUUUUGACGUUACCAACAGAAUAAGCACCGGCUAACUUCGUG
rnacentral:rRNA from 1 species